rnacentral:rRNA from 1 species
AGAUUGAACGCUGGCGGCAUGCCUUACACAUGCAAGUCGAACGGCAGCACGGGGGCAACCCUGGUGGCGAGUGGCGAACGGGUGAGUAAUACAUCGGAACGUGUCCUGUAGUGGGGGAUAGCUCGGCGAAAGCCGGAUUAAUACCGCAUACGCUCUACGGAGGAAAGCGGGGGAUCUUCGGACCUCGCGCUAAAGGGGCGGCCGAUGGCAGAUUAGCUAGUUGGUGGGGUAAAGGCCUACCAAGGCGACGAUCUGUAGCUGGUCUGAGAGGACGACCAGCCACACUGGGACUGAGACACGGCCCAGACUCCUACGGGAGGCAGCAGUGGGGAAUAUUGCGCAAUGGGCGAAAGCCUGACGCAGCGACGCCGCGUGAGGGAUGAAGGCCUUCGGGUUGUAAACCUCUUUCAGCAGGGACGAAGCGAAAGUGACGGUACCUGCAGAAGAAGCACCGGCUAACUACGUGCCAGCAGCCGC